GAGCUAAUACAUGCAAACACACUCGACUUCUGGAAGGGAUGUAUUUAUUAGAUUAAAAACCAAUGCGGAUCCUCGUGGUCCGUCUCCUUGGUGAUUCAUGAUAACUUUUCGAAUCGCAUGGCCUCGCGCCGGCGAUGUUUCAUUCAAAUUUCUGCCCUAUCAACUGUCGAUGGUAAGGUAGUGGCUUACCAUGGUUGUAACGGGUGACGGAGAAUUAGGGUUCGAUUCCGGAGAGGGAGCCUGAGAAACGGCUACCACAUCUAAGGAAGGCAGCAGGCACGAAAAUUACCCAAUCCCAACACGGGGAGGUAGUGACAAGAAAUAACGAUACGGGGUCUUAAUAGGUCUCGCAAUUGGAAUGAGUACAAUUUAAAUCCUUUAACGAGGAUCAAUUGGAGGGCAAGUCUGGUGCCAGCAGCCGCGGUAAUUCCAGCUCCAAUAGCGUAUAUUAAAGUUGUUGCAGUUAAAAAGCUCGUAGUUGGAUUUCGGGACGGGCCAGUUGGUCCGCCGCAAGGUGUGUUACUGACUGGUCUGUUCUUCUUCGCAAAGACUUCGUAUGCUCUUCAGUGAGUGUGCGUAGGAUUUACGACGCUUACUUUGAAAAAAUUAGAGUGUUCAAAGCAGGCUAUCGCUUGAAUACAUGAGCAUGGAAUAAUGGAAUAGGACUUUGGUCCUAUUUUGUUGGUUUCUAGGACCGAAGUAAUGAUUAAGAGGGACAAUUGGGGGCAUCCGUAUUUCGUUGUCAGAGGUGAAAUUCUUGGAUUUACGAAAGACGAACUACA
rnacentral:rRNA from 1 species